CUCCCUCCACGUGCUCUGGGGGAGAUGGGGAAAGAUCAUCUGUGGUUAGGCCCCGGCUCCUUGAAACCAUUCCUUGGUCGCAGGAGCCUUUUUGCUCUAAGACUUGAAACUAGACGCUGCGGGCAGAGGCCGUGGUCUCUACAAAGGGCCCGCCAGCCCACCAAGGGAAGGAAGAGUGUGCCUGGUUUUGCUGUGGAUCCGAAGCUCAAACAUCCAGAGGUGGGAUCCAGGCCAACUUGCUUCAGAGCAGGCUGGACAGGACCGGGCCUGUAAGAAUUCUCUGGUGAACGCGCCAGUUUGUGGUAUCAAUGGCCUAAUCCCAUCUUUCCCAUCCCCAUCCCAGCACACCACUGGAGACUUCCACCCACCCUUUGAUUUUUGCCUAGCUGACGGACGAGUUCGGGGUCAUCUCCAAUUUCCCUUUCCAAAUUGCCUAGUCUUGACUUAUCCUGGUUUCUAAGUAGCGGGUACCCAACAAGGAUCCCAGGCAGGCCAACUCCAUCCAGGUAGCCUCCCUUUCCCGCGUCAGCAGCAGGCACCUGAGACACCCCACAGUCUGUGCGCUGCCAACUGUGAGCCGCCCUAGGGCAGAAAAACUGCUUAUCAGACACAGAAUCUAGCUCCACUUGUAUCCAGUUACUAGUAUGUUCUGGGGGCAUUUGUAUUCUCUUGUCUGAAAAGAUCUUAGAAAUCUUGGAUCCGUGCUCAAUUAACAAUAGGUUUUCCUAUCAGACAAUUCAGCCAAUUACUGUCAGAUAAAGUAAAUAUGAUUAUGCAGUUUGGGUUUUUGUCUCUAUGUCUGCCUGGGUUCAUCUCCAUCAUUUGGAACAUAUCACAAGCCCCUCCAGUGGGAUAUUUGAUUACAGAUCUUGCUGUAGUGGUGGCAAAUUCCCUGGGGGAUACUUUAUAGAGGCAUAUAUUACUAAAUAAAGCGACACCUGUAAUGUUAAUCAUUACAAUAAAUGCAUUACCAACUGAAAAUGUAAUUUUAAAA
ensembl:lincRNA Gm20467 predicted gene 20467